UACGUAGGGGCCUAGCGUUGUCCGGAUUUAUUGGGCGUAAAGAGCUCGUAGGCGGUUUGUCGCGUCUGCUGUGAAAACUGGAGGCUCAACCUCCAGCCUGCAGUGGGUACGGGCAGACUAGAGUGCGGUAGGGGAGAUUGGAAUUCCUGGUGUAGCGGUGGAAUGCGCAGAUAUCAGGAGGAACACCGGUGGCGAAGGCGGGUCUCUGGGCCAUUACUGACGCUGAGGAGCGAAAGCGUGGGGAGCGAACAGG
rnacentral:rRNA from 1 species